UAGGGAAUCUUCGGCAAUGGACGAAAGUCUGACCGAGCAACGCCGCGUGAGCGAAGAAGGUUUUCGGAUCGUAAAACUCUGUUGUUAGAGAAGAACAAGGACGUUAGUAACUGAACGUCCCCUGACGGUAUCUAACCAGAAAGCCACGGCUAACUACGUGCCAGCAGCCGCGGUAAUACGUAGGUGGCAAGCGUUGUCCGGAUUUAUUGGGCGUAAAGCGAGCGCAGGCGGUUUCUUAAGUCUGAUGUGAAAGCCCCCGGCUCAACCGGGGAGGGUCAUUGGAAACUGGGAGACUUGAGUGCAGAAGAGGAGAGUGAAAUUCCAUGUGUAGCGGUGAAAUGCGUAGAUAUAUGGAGGAACACCAGUGGCGAAGGCGGCUCUCUGGUCUGUAACUGACGCUGAGGCUCGAAAGCGUGGGGAGCAAACAGG
rnacentral:rRNA from 1 species